UACGGGGGGGGCAAGCGUUGUUCGGAAUUACUGGGCGUAAAGGGCUCGUAGGUGGCCAACUAAGUCAGACGUGAAAUCCCUCGGCUUAACCGGGGAACUGCGUCUGAUACUGGAUGGCUUGAGUUUGGGAGAGGGACGCGGAAUUCCGGGUGUAGCGGUGAAAUGCGUAGAUAUCCGGAGGAACACCGGUGGCGAAGGCGGCUUCCUGGACCGACACUGACGCUGAGGCGCGAAAGCUAGGGGAGCAAACGGG
rnacentral:rRNA from 1 species